UACAGAGGGUGCAAGCGUUAAUCGGAAUUACUGGGCGUAAAGCGUGCGCAGGCGGUUUUGUAAGUUUGUCGUGAAAGCCCCGGGCUCAACCUGGGAAUUGCGAUGAAGACUGCAAGGCUUGAAUCUGGCAGAGGGGGGUAGAAUUCCACGUGUAGCAGUGAAAUGCGUAGAGAUGUGGAGGAACACCGAUGGCGAAGGCAGCCCCCUGGGUCAAGAUUGACGCUCAUGCACGAAAGCGUGGGGAGCAAACAGG
rnacentral:rRNA from 1 species